rnacentral:rRNA from 1 species
AACGAACGCUGGCGGCAUGCCUAACACAUGCAAGUCGAACGAGACCUUCGGGUCUAGUGGCGCACGGGUGCGUAACGCGUGGGAACCUGCCCUUAGGCUCGGAAUAACUCCCCGAAAGGGGUGCUAAUACCGGUUAAUGUCUUCGGACCAAAGAUUUAUCGCCUUUGGAUGGGCCCGCGUUGGAUUUGCUAGUUGGUAGGGUAAAAGCCUACCAAGGCGACGUUCCAUAGCUGGUCUGAGAGGAUGAUCAGCCACACUGGGACUGAGACACGGCCCAGACUCGUACGGGAGGGAGGAGUGGGGAAUAUUGGACGAUGGGCGAUAGCCUGAUCCAGCAAUGCCGCGUGAGUGAUGAAGGCCUUAGGGUUGUAAAGCUCUUUUACCCGGGAUGAUAAUGACAGUACCGGGAGAAUAAGCUCCGGCUAACUCCGUG